CCAGACUCCUACGGGAGGCAGCAGUGGGGGAUAUUGCACAAUGGGGGAAACCCUGAUGCAGCGACGCCGCGUGGGCGAAGAAGUAUUUCGGUGUGUAAAGCCCUAUCAGCAGGGAAGAAGAAAUGACGGUACCUGAGUAAGAAGCCCCGGCUAACUACGUGCCAGCAGCCGCGGUAAUACGUAGGGGGCAAGCGUUAUCCGGAUUUACUGGGUGUAAAGGGGGCGCAGACGGCGAUGCAGGCCAGGAGUGAAAGCCCGGGGCCCAACCCCGGGACUGCUCUUGGAACUGCGUGGCUGGAGUGCAGGAGAGGCAGACGGAAUUCCUAGUGUAGCGGUGAAAUGCGUAGAUAUUAGGAGGAACACCAGUGGCGAAGGCGGUCUGCUGGACAGCAACUGACGGUGAGGCGCGAAAGCGUGGGGAGCAAACAGGAUUAGAUACCCUGGUAA
rnacentral:rRNA from 1 species